GACGAACGCUGGCGGCGUGCCUAAUACAUGCAAGUCGAACGCUGAAGGAGGAGCUUGCUUCUCUGGAUGAGUUGCGAACGGGUGAGUAACGCGUAGGUAACCUGCCUGGUAGCGGGGGAUAACUAUUGGAAACGAUAGCUAAUACCGCAUAAGAGUAGAUGUUGCAUGACAUUUGCUUAAAAGGUGCAAUUGCAUCACUACCAGAUGGACCUGCGGUGUAUUAGCUAGUUGGUGGGGUAACGGCUUACCAAGGCGACGAUACAUAGCCGACCUGAGAGGGGGGUCCGCCACCCUGGGACUGGGACACCGCCCAGACUCCUACGGGAGGCAGCAGUAGGGAAUCUUCGGCAAUGGACGGAAGUCUGACCGAGCAACGCCGCGUGAGUGAAGAAGGUUUUCGGAUCGUAAAGCUCUGUUGUAAGAGAAGAACGAGUGUGAGAGUGGAAAGUUCACACUGUGACGGUAUCUUACCAGAAAGGGACGGCUAACUACGUG
rnacentral:rRNA from 1 species